rnacentral:rRNA from 1 species
ACGGAAGGCAGCAGUGAGGGAUAUUGGUCAAUGGGCGGAAGCCUGAACCAGCCAAGUCGCGUGAAGGAUGAAGGUUCUAUGGAUUGUAAACUUCUUUUGUUCGAGGGUAAAGUGAGUCACGUGUGGCUUAUUGCAAGUAUCGAACGAAUAAGCAUCGGCUAACUCCGUGCCAGCAGCCGCGGUAAUACGGAGGAUGCGAGCGUUAUCCGGAUUUAUUGGGUUUAAAGGGUGCGUAGGCGGGAUGUUAAGUCAGCGGUCAAAUUGUGUAGCUCAACUAUACCGAGCCGUUGAAACUGGCGUUCUUGAGUGUAAACGAGGUAGGCGGAAUGUGACGUGUAGCGGUGAAAUGCUUAGAUAUGUCACAGAACCCCGAUUGCGAAGGCAGCUGACUAAUCCGCAACUGACGCUCAGGCACGAAAGCGUGGGGAUCGAACAGGAUUAGAUACCCUGGUA